CCAGGAACUUCCAUCUCUCACACCCAAGCUCCUGUGCUCCCCUCUGCCAUGAAGGUCUCCGCAGCGCUUCUGUGCCUGCUGCUCACCGUGGCCUCCUUCAGCCCGCAGAGAUGGAGAAGUGAAAGCAACGGAGGAGAUAAGAAGAGCUGUCAUGGCACGAUCAGCCAGAACCACCACCCGAUGCCCGGGCCACUGAGGCCAGUCCCCAUAGUCCUUCCUGACACCAGCUGGAGAAGAGGCACUAAAUGCAGCCACUACCUCAAUGACCCUCAGAUUGUUUGGGGAUGUGGCACAGAAGGAAAGACCAUUUUUCAUUGUGGAUGUGAAGGACAUUUCAGGAAGUAGUGGAGGGGAAAAUAAUUAGUACUUGGGGUUUCAAAUUUUGGACUACAGUCAGUGUACCAGUGGCUAUGUAAGAAGAAUAACGACCUGAGACAUCUCAGCAUAUGACACAGGUUCAGUUUCCAUCCCAGUUACCUGCUGCUUUGGUGUGGUCAAAGGGAAGAUCCCCAUGCAGAGGCUGGAGAGCUAUACGAAGAUCACCAACAGCCCGUGUCCCCAGGAAGCUGUGAUCUUCAAGACCAAAACAUCCAAGGAGCUCUGUGCUGACCCCAAGCUGAAGUGGGUCCAGGAUCUCAUGAAGCGUCUGGACCAGAAGUCCCAAACCCAGAAGGCUUGAAUGUUUACACCUGGGCUAGAGAGACAGAGCCUAAGGAAAAUCUUAUUUAUUUCCCCCAACCCUCAUAAAGACCAGAGUGAUAUUAUUUUAUUACAAUCUCAACAAGAGGCACUUUGUAUAAUAAUUUAAAGCACAUUUCUUAUGUAUUAUUUAAUUAUAUUUAAGUUAUUGAUGUUUUGACUUUAUCUGCUAUAAAUCCUAGUAAAUGUAAAGUAUAAAAUCUGAUGGCAUGUUUUCUUUCCUGUGAACUCAGUCAAGUUCAUGGCAGGAGGUCAUUGUUCUCCCUCCAAUAUGUCGGUAGUAUUGUCAGGUCCUUCCAUGGAUCAUCAUGAGUGAAAUACUUCUGUAUUCUUAGGAAGUCGGUUCUCCUGUACGCAAAAUGUCUGCUGUGUAACGUUGUUGAAAUUAAUGUUAAUGACUAUAUGGCAUUUUCAAAGAAAAAGUAUAUGACUUUAAACUUGGC